UUUCCCACGCUACGGGGCUCACACGUGUCUGGCCUGCGACGGGCUCUCCCUUGGCCAGGAUCCUAGUUUCCCGCCAGGAGUCCUCGGUCCCUCCCCCGAGGCCGCCGGGCCCUCCUCCAGAGUCCCGCGGUCCGCCCCGGGGGCUCCAGGCCAGUCCCCGCCGUCACCCGGUGCGAGCCCGCGAGAGGCCUCGUGCAGCUGGCAGCCCCGCCCCGGCGCCCGCCUGCUCUUCUCGCGGGUCCGGACCGCGAGCGCGGGGGCCGACGGGUCGCCGCUGCGCCGGGCCGGGUGGGGCGGGAUGGCGGUCACCGCGCUGCUGGAGGCCGGCCUGGCGCGGGUGCUCUUCUACCCGACGCUGCUCUACACCCUGUUCCGCGGGAAGGUGCCGGGUCGGGCGCACCGGGACUGGUACCACCGCAUCGACCCCACCGUGCUGCUGGGCGCGCUGCCGUUGCGGAGCUUGACGCGCCAGCUGGUACAGGACGAGAACGUGCGCGGGGUGAUCACCAUGAACGAGGAGUACGAGACAAGGUUCCUGUGCAACUCUUCACAGGUGCACAAAUGGAGUCCAGAGGAGGCUGUAAGAGCCAUCGCCAAGAUCCGGUCAUACAUCCACAUCAAGCCUGGCCAGCUGGAUGUUCUUAAAGAGUUCCACAAGCAGAUUACUGCAGGGGCAGCAAAGGAUGGGACUUUCGACAUUUCAAAGACAUGAUGUAUGUGGAUUAGAAAGAACUCAAGACACUCCUGCUUGAUACAGAAUAAAAAAAGCUUAACAGGACCAACAGGGCUUAAGCCCAGACUUGACGUAACAGAAAUGUGCCAAUAGCCACUGUCAGACCACGGAAUGAUGUGGCCCACCAGCAGCUCUCAGCUUUUGGAGAGUAUGUGGCUGAAAUCUUGCCCAAGUAUGUCCAACAAGUUCAGGUAAUACUUACUACUGUUAUUUGGGUCUGGGUCAAGAAAGAACCAUGUUCUCAGGGCAUGUGGGAGUGGGCAGACUUGUUUCAAAGAAACUACAGACUCCUCCAUCCCAAGCUUGGACUUUUCUCUCAGCAUUAAACCAGGUGACUCCAGCUGAAGUUAGCUGUUCCCUCAGUAGCUCUUUGUUCCCUCUCCCCUCCCUUCCAUAUGUGCAGGUGUCCUGCUUCAAUGAGUUAGAGGUCUGUAUCCAUCCUGAUGGCGUCAUUCCAGUGCUGACUUUCCUCAGGGAUCACACCAAUGCACAGUUCAAAUCCCUGGUUGACUUGACAGCAGUGGAUGUCCCAACUCGGCAGAACCGUUUUGAGAUUGUCUACAACCUAUUGUCUCUGCGCUUCAACUCACGGAUCCGUGUGAAGACCUACACAGAUGAGCUGACGCCCAUUGAGUCUGCUGUCUCUGUGUUCAAGGCAGCCAACUGGUAUGAAAGGGAGAUCUGGGACAUGUUUGGAGUCUUCUUUGCUAACCACCCUGACCUAAGAAGGAUCCUGACAGAUUAUGGCUUCGAGGGACAUCCUUUCCGGAAAGACUUUCCUCUAUCUGGCUAUGUUGAGUUACGUUAUGACGAUGAAGUGAAGCGGGUGGUGGCAGAGCCGGUGGAGUUGGCCCAAGAGUUCCGCAAAUUUGACCUGAACAGCCCCUGGGAGGCUUUCCCAGUCUAUCGCCAACCCCCAGAGAGUCUCAAGCUUGAAGCCGGAGACAAGAAGCCUGAAGCCAAGUAGCUCCAGGGAAGGCAUGUGGAUCCUAGACAGCGCCUUAUCUAUGAUUGAGUGUCCGUGUAAAUAAAUUCCUACUUAGACUU
rnacentral:sRNA from 1 species